GAAAUGUGAUAAGUAAUGUGAAUUGCAGAAUUCAGUGAAUCAUCGAAUCUUUGAACGCACCUUGCGCUCUCUGGUAUUCCGGAGAGCAUGCCUGUUUGAGUGUCAUGAACUCUUCAACCCACCUGUUUCUUGUAAACUGUGUGGUGCUUGGUUUCUGAGCGCUGCUGGUUCCUAGUGAACGAAGCUCGCUUAAAAUGUAUUAGCAUCUCAAUUUCGAAAUUUGGAUUGACUCAGCGUAAUAGACUACUUCGCUGAGGACACUCGCAAGGGUGGCCGAAUAGUAGAUAACGAUCGAAGCUUAUAAUACCCAUUAGUCAAUUUAUGAUUAGACCUCAGAUCAGGCAGGAUUACCCGCUGAACUUAA
rnacentral:misc_RNA from 1 species